rnacentral:rRNA from 1 species
GGGGAAUAUUGGACAAUGGGGGCAACCCUGAUCCAGCAAUUCUGUGUGCACGAUGAAGGUUUUCGGAUUGUAAAGUGCUUUCAGCAGGGAAGAAAAAAAUGACGGUACCUGCAGAAGAAGCGACGGCUAAAUACGUGCCAGCAGCCGCGGUAAUACGUAUGUCGCAAGCGUUAUCCGGAAUUAUUGGGCAUAAAGGGCAUCUAGGCGGCCAGAUAAGUCUGGGGUGAAAACUUGCGGCUCAACCGCAAGCCUGCCCUGGAAACUAUGUGGCUAGAGUACUGGAGAGGUGGACGGAACUGCACGAGUAGAGGUGAAAUUCGUAGAUAUGUGCAGGAAUGCCGAUGAUGAAGAUAGUUCACUGGACGGUAACUGACGCUGAAGUGCGAAAGCUAGGGGAGCAAACAGGAUUAGAUACCCUGGUAGUCCUAACUGUAAACGAUGAUUACUGGGUGUGGGCAUGAAGAGUGUCCGUGCCGAAGCUAAUGCGAUAAGUAAUCCGCCUGGGGAGUACGGCCGCAAGGCUG